ACUCCUACGGGAGGCAGCAGUGGGGAAUAUUGCACAAUGGGCGCAAGCCUGAUGCAGCCAUGCCGCGUGUAUGAAGAAGGCCUUCGGGUUGUAAAGUACUUUCAGCAGUGAGGAAGGUGGAUAUGUUAAUAGCAUAUUCAUUUGACGUUAGCUGCAGAAGAAGCACCGGCUAACUCCGUGCCAGCAGCCGCGGUAAUACGGAGGGUGCGAGCGUUAAUCGGAAUUACUGGGCGUAAAGCGCAUGCAGGUGGUUUGUUAAGUCAGAUGUGAAAGCCCGGGGCUCAACCUCGGAAUUGCAUUUGAAACUGGCAAACUAGAGUACUGUAGAGGGGGGUAGAAUUUCAGGUGUAGCGGUGAAAUGCGUAGAGAUCUGAAGGAAUACCGGUGGCGAAGGCGGCCCCCUGGACAGAUACUGACACUCAGAUGCGAAAGCGUGGGGAGCAAACAGGAUUAGAUACCCUGGUAGCUCUG
rnacentral:rRNA from 1 species